rnacentral:rRNA from 1 species
GAUGAACGCUGGCGGCGUGUCUAAGGCAUGCAAGUCGAACGGACUGUUAUUUGUAGCAAUACUUAGAACAGUUAGUGGCAAACGGGUGCGUAACACAUUGGUAACCUGCCUCAAAGUCGGGCAUAAUCCCGCGAAAGUGGGACUAAUUCCACGAUGGUCAUCGAAGGUGAGAUUCCUUCGAUGUAAAGUCGCAAGACGCUUUGAGAGGGGCCUAUGGCCUAUCAGCUUGUUGGUGAGGUAACGGCUCACCAAGGCUAUGACGGGUAGGGGGUGUGAGAGCACGACCCCCCUCACUGGGACUGAGACACUGCCCAGACACCUACGGGUGGCUGCAGUCGAGAAUAUUCCCCAAUGGCCGAAAGGCUGAGGGAGCGACGCCGCGUGCAGGAAUAAGGCCUU